CCUACGGGAGGCUGCAGUGAGGAAUAUUGGUCAAUGGACGAGAGUCUGAACCAGCCAAGUAGCGUGAAGGAUGAAUGCCCUAUGGGUUGUAAACUUAUUUUAUAUGGGAAUAAAAUGUUCCACGUGUGGGAUUUUGUCUGUACCAUAUGAAUAAGGAUCGGCUAACUCCGUGCCAGCAGCCGCGGUAAUACGGAGGAUCCGAGGGUUAUCCGGAUUUAUUGGAUGUAAAGGGAGCGCAGGUGGAUUGUUAAGUCAGUUGUGAAAGUUUGCGGCGCAACCGUAAAAUGGCAGUUGAAACUGGCAGUCUUGAGUACAGUAGAGGUGGGCGGAAUUCGUUGUGUAGCGGUGAAAUGCUUAGAUAUCACGAAGAACUCCGAUUGCGAAGGCAGUUCACUGGACUGCAACUGACACUGAGGCUCGAAAGUGUGGGUAUCAAACAGGAUUAGAUACCCUUGUAGUC
rnacentral:rRNA from 1 species